rnacentral:lncRNA from 1 species
AGUAGUAGCAUCGGUUAGUUUUAUUGCUUUUAGUCUGUAUCUUUGCUUGUUUAUCAAACCGCGGUUAUAAAAUAAUGGACUUACUUGAGAUUCAUCAGGAACAAUAAAUGUAUUCGAAAGAGACAAUAAUACUAUUCAGUGAAUCAAUUCAACCAUAACACUCGAAUAAUUUGAACAAUCCAAAAACAAUAAAAUCACUCCCCCUAACCCAAAGAAUAAGUAUCUAAUAUCAAUUACAGCAAGACGAAUCACAAAAUUAAAAAAAAAAUCCACUCAAAUCCCCCUGACCCCAAGAAUAUUUCUUACAAAACAACAUAAAAGGCUUAAUCAACUAGUAAUAGUACUUGAACAAUGUAGCUCCUAGUACAGCUAGGAGAAAUGAUGGCGAAAAACUGUAAGAGGGAUUGGCAGCAGAUGGGUUCACUACUGGUCGACUCCCUGAAUUUGUAGUUGGAGCAUCGGAACUCACUGUUGACGGUGGAGUCAAUGCAGGAGUUGCAUCAGAUUCCGGUGUCAAAGCAUUAGUAGCAGGUGACACUGCUUCAGGAACACUAGAAGCUGCUAAUCAUAAGAGGGAGGGGNNN